UACGUAGGGUGCGAGCGUUUAAUCGGAAUUACUGGGCGUAAAGCGUGCGCAGGCGGUUAUGUAAGACAGUUGUGAAAUCCCCGGGCUCAACCUGGGAAUGGCGAUGAAGACUGCAAGGCUAGAAUCUGGCAGAGGGGGGGUAGAAUUCCACGUGUAGCAGUGAAAUGCGUAGAGAUGUGGAGGAACACCGAUGGCGAAGGCAGCCCCCCUGGGUCAAGAUUGACGCUCAUGCACGAAAGCGUGGGGAGCAAA
rnacentral:rRNA from 1 species